rnacentral:rRNA from 1 species
AAAGCGUGCGCAGGCGGUUAUGUAAGACAGAUGUGAAAUCCCCGGGCUCAACCUGGGAACUGCAUUUGUGACUGCAUGGCUAGAGUACGGUAGAGGGGGAUGGAAUUCCGCGUGUAGCAGUGAAAUGCGUAGAUAUGCGGAGGAACACCGAUGGCGAAGGCAAUCCCCUGGGCCUGUACUGACGCUCAUGCACGAAAGCGUGGGGAGCAAACAGGAUUAGAUACCCUGGU